GUAACCUACGGGACGCAGCAGUGGGGAAUAUUGCGCAAUGGGCGAAAGCCUGACGCAGCGACGCCGCGUGAGGGAUGAAGGCCUUCGGAUCGUAAACCUCUGUCAGCAGGGAAGAACGGUCACUGUGCUAAUCAGCAGUGAAUUGACGGUACCUGCAAAGGAAGCACCGGCUAACUCCGUGCCAGCAGCCGCGGGAAUACGGAGGGUGCGAGCGUUAAUCGGAAUUACUGGGCGGAAAGCGCUCGUAGGCGGUAUGUCAAGUCAAGGGGGAAAUCCCCG
rnacentral:rRNA from 1 species